CUUACAAGGGGUACAAGGGCUUCUCCUUCGCCAACAUACCGCCGGUUUGAGGGGUUUUCUUUGCUUGGGAGCUGCCUUCAGGUGUUGUUGUCAUGGCUUGUCGUGUGUACAGAUCUCGUCAUGUAGCCUGCCCUCUUCCUUUCCUUUUCUUGUUGUACUUAUGUUUGAAUAAUCUGUUGUGCGAAUCUAGUUGAAUACGCGAGAAUGAGAUUUCCUGUCAGUUUGUUUCUUUCUCUCUUUCUGAUUUCAUGAUUUGGUGACUCUGGUGGGAUCUUCGAAACAAAGUAAAAUUAGAAAAAAAAUAAUUCAAGAUAUUAAAACUGUUCUUUAUAGCUGCAGACAGGGAAAUCAAGAGAAGUUAUCAAAAAAAAUUAUUUUUUAUAGUGAAAAUCUUUGAACUUGUAGUGGUUACUGUUAAUUCGGUCUCUCAUUUCUUUAAUAUCACGUUGCUUUUAGAGUCUGAUUGUCUAAUAAGUAAAGUUUUAAUUUCCAUAAAUUUAAGAAGUAUACAAUUUUAAAGCAACAAGUCAACAAGGGGUAGGUAUAUAGGAGAAGUCAAGAAGUAUAAAAUUAAGACAUGAGAACCUCACUAAAAUAAGUUUUAAAGCAAGGAGUUUCAAAGGGAUUGAGGACACAAAAUGGAUGGUGGAAUUCCCAUGUAAUGAUAAUGGACCAUAUCCAAGAUGAAUUAGUUAAUAGAAGAGGUUGUUUGGAGUCUUGUAAGUAGAGCCACAUGCAGUUCAACCUUGCUUGUUUGGAUACUUACAACAUAAAUUGCAUAGUAAGUUGAGUCGCUUGUUGGGCUACAACAUAGGGCUAUCUUGUGGUAGGUCGAUUUGCAGUUAUAGUUGCAGUGUUACAAGUUGUAGAAGCUCGAGUUGGUAUCUUAAUCAAAGACAAAAGAUUUUCUCUCCUACUCCUUCCCUUCCCAUCUCCUCCCUUGUCUCGCUUCAAGUCUCUGCAUGCUGUGAUUCUUGAUGUCACUGAUGGCACCUCAAAACCUCCAAGAGGCCACAGCCACGUCCUCCUCUUUGAGCUAGACUACAACAGGCCUCUCCUCCUCCCCUUCCCCUCUACUUCCCUUCCUUGCUCUCAAGUCCCUCCUUACUGCUGCCCUUGAUGCUGCCACCAGCCUCUGUUACCUUUAGGAGGCCCAAGGCUAUGUCCUUCACCAUGGACUUUACUGCAUCCCCCUUCUUCUUUACUCUACCUCCUCUGUUGCUACUAACCCCUUCCUCCUCUCUUCUUCACCUUAUCUGGGCUUCUCAAGGUCUGCAUUGCUGCCAACUUCCCUAUUUAUGGGCACCCAAGUCCAUGCUUAGGCCCUUGUCAACAGCGGCUUUGACAUUGAUGUCUUCAUCCAAAACACUCUCAUUCCCAUACAUGUCAAAUUGCACUGACUUGACAUUUAGUCGGACGAUGUUCGAUGGAAUAUUUGUCAAAAUGCCUCUCUUUUCCUUAAGCUCUCCUCUAAACACAAGAAGUGAAUUUUCUUGUAAGCCAACUCCUACAACUAAAGUUGUAAUAUGACUUGAGUUGGAAUGCAACUUCAACUAUAGAGCUCCAAAUAGCCCUAAAAUGAAUUAAGGCUUGAAAGGACCUAGAAGAGAAGGAUAAUAAAGCUCUUUAUUUCAGGUAGAAAUAAAUACAAGUGCAUUUUGUGUUGACAUAUGAAUAACAGAUAUUGUAUGAUGAAUGUAAGUGGCAACUUGAAGAAUGAAGACCAAGCUUUUUUGAAUAUGGAGAUGGCAAGAAGGAAUUUAUAGUUUGCUAAGAAGAAGC
rnacentral:lncRNA from 1 species